rnacentral:rRNA from 1 species
UACGAAGGGGGCUAGCGUUGCUCGGAAUCACUGGGCGUAAAGCGCACGUAGGCGGAUUGUUAAGUCAGGGGUGAAAUCCUGGAGCUCAACUCCAGAACUGCCUUUGAUACUGAAGAUCUUGAGUCCGGGAGAGGUGAGUGGAACUGCGAGUGUAGAGGUGAAAUUCGUAGAUAUUCGCAAGAACACCAGUGGCGAAGGCGGCAUCCUGGACCAACACUGACGCUGAGGAGCGAAAGCCAGGGGAGCAAACGGG